AUUGAACGCUGGCGGAAUGCUUUACACAUGCAAGUCGAACGGCAGCACGGACUUCGGUCUGGUGGCGAGUGGCGAACGGGUGAGUAAUAUAUCGGAACGUAUCCAAUAAUGGGGGAUAACUAAUCGAAAGGUUGGCUAAUACCGCAUACGUCCUACGGGAGAAAGCUAGGGACCUUCGGGCCUGGCGUUAAUGGAGCGGCCGAUAUCGGAUUAGCUAGUUGGUGAGGUAAAGGCUCACCAAGGCGACGAUCCGUAGCUGGUCUGAGAGGACGACCAGCCACACUGGAAAUGUGACACGGUCCAGACGCCUACGGGAGGCAGCAGUGGGGUAUUUUGGACAAUGGGCGAAAGCCUGAUCCAGACAUUCCGCGUGAGUGAAGAAGGCCUUCGGGUUGUAAAGCUCUUUCGCAAGAGAAGAAAACUUACCCUCUAACAUAGGGUGAGGUUGACGGUAUCUUGAUAAGAAGCACCGGCUAACUACGUGCCAGCAGCCGCGGUAA
rnacentral:rRNA from 1 species